rnacentral:rRNA from 1 species
GAACGCUGGCGGUAGGCCUAACACAUGCAAGUCGAACGGCAGCACAGGAGAGCUUGCUCUCUGGGUGGCGAGUGGCGGACGGGUGAGGAAUACAUCGGAAUCUACUUUUUCGUGGGGGAUAACGUAGGGAAACUUACGCUAAUACCGCAUACGACCUACGGGUGAAAGCAGGGGAUCUUCGGACCUUGCGCGAUUGAAUGAGCCGAUGUCGGAUUAGCUAGUUGGCGGGGUAAAGGCCCACCAAGGCGACGAUCCGUAGCUGGUCUGAGAGGAUGAUCAGCCACACUGGAACUGAGACACGGUCCAGACUCCUACGGGAGGCAGCAGUGGGGAAUAUUGGACAAUGGGCGCAAGCCUGAUCCAGCCAUACCGCGUGGGUGAAGAAGGCCUUCGGGUUGUAAAGCCCUUUUGUUGGGAAAGAAAUCCAGCUGGCUAAUACCCGGUUGGGAUGACGGUACCCAAAGAAUAAGCACCGGCUAAC